GAUGAACGCUGGCGGCGUGCUUAACACAUGCAAGUCGAACGGAAAGGCCGAAGCUUGCUUCGGUACUCGAGUGGCGAACGGGUGAGUAACACGUGGGUGAUCUGCCCUGUACUUCGGGAUAAGCUUGGGAAACUGGGUCUAAUACCGGAUAUGACGAUCUCUUGGAUGGGGUUGUGGAAAGCUUUUGCGGUAUGGGAUGAGCUCGCGGCCUAUCAGCUUGUUGGUGGGGUAAUGGCCUACCAAGGCGUCGACGGGUAGCCGGCCUGAGAGGGUGUACGGCCACAUUGGGACUGCGAUACGGCCCAGACUCCUACGGGAGGCAGCAGUGGGGAAUAUUGCACAAUGGGCGCAAGCCUGAUGCAGCGACGCCGCGUGGGGGAUGACGGCCUUCGGGUUGUAAACUCCUUUCGCAAUCGACGAAGCCUUUUGGUGACGGUAGGUUGAGAAGAAGCACCGGCUAACUACGUG
rnacentral:rRNA from 1 species